rnacentral:lncRNA from 1 species
UCUUUUCUUUUCAAAACCCACCAAGGGUUUCUCCAGCCUCCUGCUGCUCAGCUGCAGAUAACAUCCCCCACUCACAUCACCGCCGCCUGAGCUCGAUUUCUGCAAAUUAGAAAGCGUCCCAAUUCAUUUUGAAGAUGCGGGCACUACGAAAAUAAAACAAUCAUAAAAAAGUUAGAUCCAAACCUAAAACUAAGUAAUUAGCUUGUAUUUUCCGUCAAAAUCGUGAAACUUCUAGUUCAAACACAUGCAAAACUAAAAUAGAAAAUAUAUCCAGAGGAACUCAAUGAAGGAGCAUGAAUGAGGCAAUUC